GACGAACGCUGGCGGCGUGCCUAAUACAUGCAAGUAGAACGCACAGUUUAUACCGUAGCUUGCUACACCAUAGACUGUGAGUUGCGAACGGGUGAGUAACGCGUCGGUGACCUGCCUGGUAGCGGGGGGUAACUAUUGGAAACGCUAGCUAAUACCGCAUAAUAUUAAUUAUUGCAUAAUAAUUAAUUGAAAGGUGCAAUUGCACCACUACCAGAUGGACUUGCGUUGUAUUAGCUAGUAGGGGCGGUAACGGCUCACCUAGGCGACGAUACAUAGCCGACCUGAGGGGGUGGACGGCCACACUGAGACUGUGACACGGCCCAGACUCCUACGGGCGGCAGCAGUAGGGAAUCGACGGCGAUGGACGGAAGUCUGACCGAGCGACGCCACGUGAGUGAAGAAGGUUUUCGGGUCGUAAAGCUGUGUUGGGAGAGAAGAACGGGUGUGAGAGGGGAGAGGUCACACUGUGACGGUAUCUGACCAGGAAGGGACGGCUAACUACGUG
rnacentral:rRNA from 1 species